GGGUCAAAAUUUAAGUCAUAUGAAUAAAAUCUCAAAAGGUCUAGGUAUGUAACAGUCAGAUAUUAGGCUGCUACAAGAGGCAGGGAAGAGGAGCAAGAUGCAGUGGGAUUUAUGAACACCAGUUCCCAGAGGAUCUUAAAUUAGACAUGCAAAAUAAUGCAAUUUAAUAUGGAACAUGCUUUCUCUCUGUUUUGGAGACAAGUUCAUCUGUCCAAGAGAGCUUUCUAGGCUUAAUUGGUCACAGUUUCUGUGCUUUUGAGAGGUGGAAAAUUCCAUUAUAUAUAGAUUGAAUGACAUGCCUAUUGUGGUCAGUGGAUGCAAGACUAUGGACAAUUUUCACAGUCCCUUUCAUAUUACAGACAGACCAGUCAAAUGUUGAGUGAGGGGUCACAGGUUAGAUUUCUCAAGGAAGUCAAAAGUUUGACAUUAUUGUGCUUGUUCCUUGUGAACUCCUGCCAAGACUGAAAGUACUGGAAAGUUCUGCCACCUCCAGAG